UGUAGGAGUGAGCCUGCUCGCGAUAGCGGUGUGUCAGUCACCUAUUCCUUUACUGAUGCACCGCCAUCGCGAGCAGGCUCACUCCUACA
rnacentral:misc_RNA from 1 species